GAUAUGGUUGUGUUUUGAUGAUUUAUAGUGGAUAAUGAAUGUUUGAUGUGUUAAAUAUGAGUUUUAUUCAAUGAAUUUCGGUAAAAAUGUCAAAAAGGGGUUAAAUUGUGAAAGUUACAAAUUGGUCAUAAGUGUGUGAAUUAGUGAGAAUUUGGAGUUUCCAUAGAAGAGAAAAAUGUUUAGCAUGUCUUAAACCUUAUAGAAAUUGAAUAAAAAUUAAUUUACGAGCAUUGGGGCAAAAGUGAAAAUAUGCAAAAGUUUAAGGGUCAAAAUAAAAAUUUGUAAAAAUAUGAUUUUUAGACCCAUAUGAAUAUUGUGACUGAUUGGUAGGCUAAAUGUGAUGUUAUGGAUGAUGAAAAUUGAGACUUGGACCUAGAACGGAAAGAAAUCGAUUUAUGGACGAGUAUGUCCUUUUCACAUUUGUGGUAUCGAGAGUUCCAGGUUAGCUCGGGUUGGAGGCCGUCAGAGAUAUUAUCACCCUAUCGAGUUAACGUUAUCGGAGUAAGUAAACUCAAGUGAUUCGAGUCUAUGGCAUGUAUAGGGUUUUUGUAACACCCCGAACCCGAGACCGUCGCCGGAGUCGAACGCGAGGUGUUAACAGACUUCAACCCACUUAUUGACAAUUUUCAGACAAGCUGCCAAUCUGAGUACUAGUCGCUCCAAAAUUCAUAACUUGAGUUUUACAACUCGAAAAUCAGUUCCGUAAAUUUUUCCUGAAACUAGACUCAUAUGUCCAUCUACAUAUUUUUUUCUAGAAUUUUGGUCGAGCCAAUUAGUACAGUUUAUUAGUUAAAGUCUCGCCUGUUGUAGGGAUCGACUACACUGACCUUUGUGCGUUACGAAUUGGAUAUCUCCCUGUACAGGGCUUCAAUACUGAUGCCGUUUGUUUCUAUAGAAA